AAAAGAAUGAGGAAUAGAGGACAUUUCAUUCACGUUGGAAACAGUCUCCCCAUCCCAACCCUAAUGGAGUGUUACAGACAGUGAAGCCAUUCAGUAAAGGUUUAGUAAACUGAAAAACAAAAAAUGCAAAAAAAAAAAAAACGAAACAAAGUCCUUGGUUUUAGGGAUUUUAAGUGAGGACGGGAAAUGGCAUUUGCUACCUGAAUCUUUUUAUCUUUUUCAGGCAGAGGAGCUGAGCGGCAAUUGGAGGAGACAGUAUGAGCCUCCGAAGAUUAGGGAAGGAAAGUGCAGUUGAAGAAAACUUCCUUUGGUUCAAUGCAAAACUAACUGAAUGAAUCGCAUGCUGAAAUAUCACAUGACAUAUGGAAACGGUGAAUGGAGGCUGUGGAUGAAAACAAACCAGAGGAGGAUGGUUCUUCCUCCGACCUGGGGGCCAGACUGAGAAGCUGGAGAAAAGAAACAGAGUGUGUGCAUGCCUGCUGUCCCAACUGGAAAAAUUUCGAUAAAUAUUUUUUUUCUGCCCUUUCAUUGUUUUCUUGUCUUUUUACAUCUUGGAGCAGUGAUUCUAGUUGGAUUUGGAUUUAGCUGAGCUUUUGGUAAGAUACCCACCACUACUCCUACUUCCACUUUCCCCCAAUCUAGGUUCCUGGGAAUUUUAGAAAUAUCUACAAAUUUGCUUAAUUGCCAGCCAGUUUCUCCAUUUCUAGGCAACUGGCUUCCCUUAGCUGUAAUGUUAGAGUCUGACCUAUGACAUCAGGGUCUUGUUUAUCUGAUGACUACCAAAUGUCAAGGGCGCCGUCAGCCUGCAUUGCAUGACUCUAAAACUGGGUGUUAGAUACCUGGCCUUGGAGUGGGCAGCUUUUCAGCCCUGAUCCAAACGGGUGGAAGAGAACAAGUUGAGAAGGGAGCUUGAGAUGUGACAGUAGGCAGCAACCGCUGUGUACCAAGCAGCCGGCUGAGCUUUACCUUGUGCUAUGCCCACAGGCAUUCAAAGAGCCAAUUUUGUCAGUCUUGCUUUUACCAAUAAAGUUCACGGAGAAAUGUAAUAGCUCAACAGUCUUAAGCCAGUACAUGGCAAAGCUGGCAUUGCAAAUCAAGGCUGCCUGCCUCUGAGGCUUUACUUAUCUACAGAGCCCCAUUCUUACUCCCAAUAGAAACUUCUAGAAAGAUACUUUGAUGUUUGCUCUUUUAAACUUAUCUCUCAUCUAAUCCCUUGUCACAGAGAAUACCCCCACAGAG
rnacentral:lncRNA from 1 species